CGGAGGAUCCAAGCGUUAUCCGGAUUUAUUGGGUUUAAAGGGUGCGUAGGCGGCUUAUUAAGUCAGGGGUGAAAGACGGUGGCUCAACCAUCGCAGUGCCUUUGAUACUGAUGAGCUUGAAUGAACUUGAGGUAGGCGGAAUGUGACAAGUAGCGGUGAAAUGCAUAGAUAUGUCACAGAACACCAAUUGCGAAGGCAGCUUACUAAAGUUUAAUUGACGCUGAGGCACGAAAGCGUGGGGAUCAAACAGGAUUAGAUACCCUGGUAGUCCACGCCCUAAACGAUGAAUACUCGAUGUUAGCGAUAUACAGUUAGCGUCUAAGCGAAAGCGUUAAGUAUUCCACCUGGGGAGUACGCCCGCAAGGGUG
rnacentral:rRNA from 1 species